AUUGAACGCUGGCGGCAGGCCUAACACAUGCAAGUCGAAAGAGUGGCGGACGGGUGAGUAAUGCUUGGGAAUCUAGCUGAUGGAGGGGGAUAACUACGGGAAACGGUAGCUAAUACCGCCUACCAUAGGAUGAGCCCAGAUGGGAUUAGGUAGUUGGUGAGGUAACGGCUCACCAAGCCGAAGAUACCUAGCUGGUCUGAGAGGAUGACCAGCCACACUUGGACUGAGACACGGCCCAGACUCCUACGGGAGGCAGCAGUGGGGAAUAUUGCGCAAUGGGGGCAACCCUGACGCAGCCAUGCCGCGUGAAUGAAGAAGGCCUUCGGGUUGUAAAGUUCUUUCAGUAGCGAGGCGUUAACUACAGAAGAAGCACCGGCUAACUCCGUGCCAGCAGCCGCGGUAAUUC
rnacentral:rRNA from 1 species